UGGUGGGUAGUUUGACUGGGGCGGUCUCCUCCUAAAGAGUAACGGAGGAGCACGAAGGUUGGCUAAUCCUGGUCGGACAUCAGGAGGUUAGUGCAAUGGCAUAAGCCAGCUUGACUGCGAGCGUGACGGCGCGAGCAGGUGCGAAAGCAGGUCAUAGUGAUCCGGUGGUUCUGAAUGGAAGGGCCAUCGCUCAACGGAUAAAAGGUACUCCGGGGAUAACAGGCUGAUACCGCCCAAGAGUUCAUAUCGACGGCGGUGUUUGGCACCUCGAUGUCGGCUCAUCACAUCCUGGGGCUGAAGUAGGUCCCAAGGGUAUGGCUGUUCGCCAUUUAAAGUGGUACGCGAGCUGGGUUUAGAACGUCGUGAGACAGUUCGGUCCCUAUCUGCCGUGGGCGCUGGAGAACUGAGGGGGGCUGCUCCUAGUACGAGAGGACCGGAGUGGACGCAUCACUGGUGUUCGGGUUGUCAUGCCAAUGGCACUGCCCGGUAGCUAAAUGCGGAAGAGAUAAGUGCUGAAAGCAUCUAAGCACGAAACUUGCCCCGAGAUGAGUUCUCCCUGAGACUUUAGGUCUCCUGAAGGAACGUUGAAGACGACGACGUUGAUAGGCCGGGU
rnacentral:rRNA from 5 species